UACGGAGGAUCCGAGCGUUAUCCGGAUUUAUUGGGUUUAAAGGGUGCGUAGGCGGCCUUUUAAGUCAGCGGUGAAAGUCUGUGGCUCAACCAUAGAAUUGCCGUUGAAACUGGGGGGCUUGAGUAUGUUUGAGGCAGGCGGAAUGCGUGGUGUAGCGGUGAAAUGCAUAGAUAUCACGCAGAACCCCGAUUGCGAAGGCAGCCUGCCAAGCCAUGACUGACGCUGAUGCACGAAAGCGUGGGGAUCGAACA
rnacentral:rRNA from 1 species